UACGAAGGGUGCAAACGUUGCUCGGAAUCAUUGGGCGUAAAGCGCGGGCAGGCGGCCCGUUAAGUCGGCCGUGAAAGCGCCGGGCUCAACUCGGCGAGGACGGGCGAGACUGACGGGCUCGAGGUUGGCAGAGGGCGGUGGAAUUCCGGGUGUAGUGGUGGAAUGCGUAGAGCUCCGGAGGAACACCAGUGGCGAAGGCGGCCGCCUGGGCCAAUACUGACGCUGAGCCGCGAAAGCGUGGGGAGCGAGCCGG
rnacentral:rRNA from 1 species